rnacentral:lncRNA from 1 species
CUGUAGGAUGGGUUUAUUAAAUGAGAACCAGACUGCACGAAAAAUAAUAAUAAUAAAAAAACAACAACAUAAAAGUGCAGAUUUGAGCCUUGGUCCACCAGGGUCGCUCAGGUUCCAUCAGAGACUUACAGAGAGGCACACUUGAUCCAGCGUGAGACGAUUUUCACUACACUACAACUACACUAUACAUCAUACACGGUCCACUCUCAUCAUAACCAAUUAGUUCAGCCCUUCAGGAACUCCACACUGAAGCAGUCCCCACAAUGUGUUAAAUACGGGUGAUUUAAAUGUGUAAUAGAUCACAUAUAAAGAAAAUAUAUUACAUCAGCCCAGGUUAGGAGAUGCUGUGCUGUUGUAAUACAUUUUAUUUCAGUGAUAGGUCAUUUAGGUCCAGAAAAUAAAAAUGCCUGUGCAGCUCUGUUGCAGCUCUGGAUGGCUCUACUGCACCUAAUGUUGGUUCUGCUGCUGCAUGAGCGGCUCUGCUGUUGCCUGAGAGGUCUUAGAGCAGCUCAGCUUGGCUCUGCUGAUUUGUGAGAAGUUCUAGAGCAGCUCAGCCUGGCUCUGUUGAUGUCUGGGCAGUUCUAGAGCACCUCAGCCUGGCUCUGUUGAUGUCUGGGCAGUUCUAUAGAAGCUCAGCUUGGUUCUGUUUAUGUCUGGGCAGUUCUAGAGCAGCUCAGCUUGGCUGUGUUUAUGUUUGGGCAGAUCCAGAGCAGCUCAGCUUGGUUCUGUUGAUGUACGGGCAGUUCUAGAGCAGCUCAGCUUGGCUCUGCUGCUGCCUAAGUGGCUCUGCUGCCACCCAGGUAAACUCUGCCUAAGCGACUAAAGCCGACUAGCGACUAGGCAGCUCUACUGCAGCUCAAGUUGGUUCUGCUUCCACCUGAGUAACUCUACUACAGCUCAGCUUGAGCAGAUAUGCAAUCAGGUCAACUCUGCUUCUGCCUGAGCGGCUCUGCUGCAGCUCAGCUUGGCUCUGUUAAUGUCUGGGCAGUUCUAGAGCAGCUCAGCUUGGCUCUGCUGCUUCCUGUGUAGUUCUAGAGCAGCUCAACUUGGUUCUGCUGUUGUCUGGGCAAGAUUUGAGCAGCUUAGCUUGACUUUGUUGAUGUCUGGGCAGUUCUUGAGCAGCUCAACUUGGCUCUGCUGCUGCCUAAUUCAACUCUGCUGCUGCCUGAGUGGCUCAAGUCAGCUUAGCUACCUCCUAGAAGGUCUAGAAAGUAAGAUUCUUACUUUCUAGACCUUCAGUAUAUCACCCACUCAAAACGAUACAUCUAGAUCAAUAAAUCUGAAUCCAGAAAACUGCUCA